rnacentral:rRNA from 1 species
AUGCUGGAGGUAUCAGAAGUGCGAAUGCUGACAUAAGUAACGAUAAAGCGGGUGAAAAGCCCGCUCGCCGGAAGACCAAGGGUUCCUGUCCAACGUUAAUCGGGGCAGGGUGAGUCGACCCCUAAGGCGAGGCCGAAAGGCGUAGUCGAUGGGAAACAGGUUAAUAUUCCUGUACUUGGUGUUACUGCGAAGGGGGGACGGAGAAGGCUAUGUUGGCCGGGCGACGGUUGUCCCGGUUUAAGCGUGUAGGCUGGUUUUCCAGGCAAAUCCGGAAAAUCAAGGCUGAGGCGUGAUGACGAGGCACUACGGUGCUGAAGCAACAAAUGCCCUGCUUCCAGGAAAAGCCUCUAAGCAUCAGGUAACAUCAAAUCGUACCCCAAACCGACACAGGUGGUCAGGUAGAGAAUACCAAGGCGCUUGAGAGAACUCGGGUGAAGGAACUAGGCAAAAUGGUGCCGUAACUUCGGGAGAAGGCACGCUGAUAUGUAGGUGAAGCGACUUGCUCGUGGAGCUGAAAUCAGUCGAAGAUACCAGCUGGCUGCAACUGUUUAUUAAAAACACAGCACUGUGCAAACACGAAAGUGGACGUAUACGGUGUGACGCCUGCCCGGUGCCGGAAGGUUAAUUGAUGGGGUCAGCGCAAGCGAAGCUCUUGAUCGAAGCCCCGGUAAACGGCGGCCGUAACUAUAACGGUCCUAAGGUAGCGAAAUUCCUUGUCGGGUAAGUUCCGACCUGCACGAAUGGCGUAAUGAUGGCCAGGCUGUCUCCACCCGAGACUCAGUGAAAUUGAACUCGCUGUGAAGAUGCAGUGUACCCGCGGCAAGACGGAAAGACCCCGUGAACCUUUACUAUAGCUUGACACUGAACAUUGAGCCUUGAUGUGUAGGAUAGGUGGGAGGCUUUGAAGUGUGGACGCCAGUCUGCAUGGAGCCGACCUUGAAAUACCACCCUUUAAUGUUUGAUGUUCUAACGUUGACCCGUGAUCCGGGUUGCGGACAGUGUCUGGUGGGUAGUUUGACUGGGGCGGUCUCCUCCUAAAGAGUAACGGAGGAGCACGAAGGUUGGCUAAUCCUGGUCGGACAUCAGGAGGUUAGUGCAAUGGCAUAAGCCAGCUUGACUGCGAGCGUGACGGCGCGAGCAGGUGCGAAAGCAGGUCAUAGUGAUCCGGUGGUUCUGAAUGGAAGGGCCAUCGCUCAACGGAUAAAAGGUACUCCGGGGAUAACAGGCUGAUACCGCCCAAGAGUUCAUAUCGACGGCGGUGUUUGGCACCUCGAUGUCGGCUCAUCACAUCCUGGGGCUGAAGUAGGUCCCAAGGGUAUGGCUGUUCGCCAUUUAAAGUGGUACGCGAGCUGGGUUUAGAACGUCGUGAGACAGUUCGGUCCCUAUCUGCCGUGGGCGCUGGAGAACUGAGGGGGGCUGCUCCUAGUACGAGAGGACCGGAGUGGACGCAUCACUGGUGUUCGGGUUGUCAUGCCAAUGGCACUGCCCGGUAGCUAAAUGCGGAAGAGAUAAGUGCUGAAAGCAUCUAAGCACGAAACUUGCCCCGAGAUGAGUUCUCCCUGACUCCUUGA